rnacentral:rRNA from 1 species
GAUGAACGCUAGCUAUAGGCUUAACACAUGCAAGUCGAGGGGAAACGGCAUUAUGUGCUUGCACAUUUUGGACGUCGACCGGCGCACGGGUGAGUAUCGCGUAUCCAACCUGCCCUUUACUUGGGGAUACCCCGUUGAAAGACGGCCUAAUACCCGAUGUAAUUCAUUGAUGGCAUCAGAUAUGAAUAAAAGAUUUAUCGGUAAAGGAUGGGGAUGCGUCUGAUUAGCUUGUUGGUGAGGUAACGGCUCACCAAGGCGACGAUCAGUAGGGGUUCUGAGAGGAAGGUCCCCCACAUUGGAACUGAGACACGGUCCAAACUCCUACGGGAGGCAGCAGUGAGGAAUAUUGGUCAAUGGGCGCAAGCCUGAACCAGCCAAGUAGCGUGCAGGAAGACGGCCCUAUGGGUUGUAAACUGCUUUUAUACGAGAAUAAUUUGAUGCACGUGUGCGUUAUUGCAUGUAUCGUAUGAAUAAGGACCGGCUAAGUCCGUG